rnacentral:rRNA from 1 species
AACGAACGCUGGCGGCAGGCUUAACACAUGCAAGUCGAACGCCCCGCAAGGGGAGUGGCAGACGGGUGAGUAACGCGUGGGAAUCUACCGUACCCUACGGAAUAACGCAUGGAAACGUGUGCUAAUACCGUAUACGCCCUACGGGGGAAAGAUUUAUCGGGGUAUGAUGAGCCCGCGUUGGAUUAGCUAGUUGGUGGGGUAAAGGCCUACCAAGGCGACGAUCCAUAGCUGGUCUGAGAGGAUGAUCAGCCACAUUGGGACUGAGACACGGCCCAAACGCCUACGGGAGGGAGCAGUGGGGAAUAUUGGACAAUGGGCUGAAGCCUGAGCCAGCCAUGCCGCGUGAGUGAUGAAGGCCCUAGGGUUGUAAAGCUCUUUCACCGAUGAAGAUAAUGACGGUAGUCGGAGAAGAAGCCCCGGCUAACUUCGUGCCAGCAGCCGCGGUAAUAC